CGACCAGUGUCGCUAGUCAGACAUUUCCAGGCUGUCAGUGAGAUGUGUGUGUUGUGUGAGGACGGUAGCGGGGUCCAGUCACAGGGAAGAAGGCAGAUAGCAAAGGUAGCGUACAACAUCAUAUAUAAGUUGAUGUUUGAUGUCAUUUCAGGUGAAUUUGUUAGGAAAAAGUGACACGGGGACAUAUAUAUAUAUAUAUAUAUAUAUAUAUAUAUAUGAAGAGUAAAGAACGAAACAUGUUGGAGAAAAA